rnacentral:rRNA from 1 species
CUACGGGGCGCUCCAGUGGGGAAUAUUGGACAAUGGGGGCAACCCUGAUCCAGCCAUGCCGCGUGUGUGAAGAAGGCCUUUUGGUUGUAAAGCACUUUAAGCGAGGAGGAGGCUACUGGUACUAAUAUUACCAGCUAGUGGACGUUACUCGCAGAAUAAGCACCGGCUAACUCUGUGCCAGCAGCCGCGGUAAUACAGAGGGUGCGAGCGUUAAUCGGAAUUACUGGGCGUAAAGCGCGCGUAGGCGGUUUGUUAAGUCGGAUGUGAAAUCCCCGGGCUCAACCUGGGAAUUGCAUUCGAUACUGGCAAGCUAGAGUAUGGGAGAGGAAGGUAGAAUUCCAGGUGUAGCGGUGAAAUGCGUAGAGAUCUGGAGGAAUACCGAUGGCGAAGGCAGCCUUCUGGCCUAAUACUGACGCUGAGGUGCGAAAGCAUGGGGAGCAAACAGGAUUAGAUACCCGCGUAGUC